CAAUAGCGUAUAUUAAAGUUGUUGCAGUUAAAAAGCUCGUAGUUGGAUUUCUGGUGGGAGCGAUCGGUCUGGCGCUUAGCGCGAGUACUUGCAUCGUCUCCGGCCAUCCUUGGGGAGAGUCUGUCUGGCAUUAGGUUGUCGGGCAGAGGAUCCUCAUCGUUUACUGUGAAAAAAUUAGAGUGUUCAAAGCAGGCUUAUGCCGUUGAAUAUAUUAGCAUGGAAUAAUAAGAUAGGACUUUGGUACUAUUUUGUUGGUUUGCGCACCAAAGUAAUGAUUAAUAGGGACAGUUGGGGGUAUUCGUAUUCCGUUGUCAGAGGUGAAAUUCUUGGAUUUACGGAAGACGAACUACUGCAAAAGCAUUUACCAAGGAUGUUUUCAUUAA
rnacentral:rRNA from 1 species